CUAGGCGCGUCCAGUUGAGUAGUCUCUCAAGACGUCUCGUCGAUUUGAAUGUGGAGGGAUGCAGGGCUAGUCCAGCUGUAGAUAGGGCAAUUAUGGCAAUACGUUUAUCCAACUAUCUUUUGAUUGUUUAUGCCGUCAUCUUUACAUGUAUACACGAUGCUUGGUGUGUGGGAACUUGAUGGCAGUAACGUUAACGCCGUUUGCUUAGAGCUCAGCCAACUAAUGUUCGCUGUCUGGUCAACCUCAACACGUGGUGCGGUAGCAUGUGCUAGCCUGCAGCAAUUGGUGUCCUGGUCCUGCAGGUGGUGAUGAUCGAAGUUGACUGAAUUGACAGUUGGUAGGGGAUUUGGGCCUGAACAUCUUACACAUCUUAUAGUUGACUGAAUUGACAGUGGGUAGGUGAUUUGGGCCUGAACAUCUUAUAGUCGGUAUGGGAUUUGGACCUAAGCAUCUUAAACAUCUUAUAGUUGACUGAAUUGACAGUUGGUAGGGGAUUUGGGCCUGAACAUCUUACACAUCUUAUAGUCGGUAUGGGAUUUGGACCUAAGCAUCUUAAACAUCUUAUAGUUGACUGAAUUGACAGUCGGUAUGGGAUUUGGACCUAAGCAUCUUAAACAUCUUAUAGUUGGUAUGGGAUUUGGACCUGAGCAUCUCAAAAGGAAAAGCUGCAUCCAGGUAGUCCCUGCUUUUAUGGCUCAAUUGGAAUGGUUGGAGUGUCUUAUGUUGAUGCAAUAAAUUGUGAAGGAGA